CAGCCGCCGCGGGAAUACGUAGGGUCCGAGCGUUGUCCGGAAUUAUUGGGCGUAAAGGGCUCGUAGGCGGUUUGUUGCGUCGGGAGUGAAAACCCAGGGCUUAACUUUGGGCUUGCUUUCGAUACGGGCAGACUUGAGGCAUUGAGGGGAGAACGGAAUUCCUGGUGUAGCGGUGAAAUGCGCAGAUAUCAGGAGGAACACCGGUGGCGAAGGCGGUUCUCUGGCAAUGUUCUGACGCUGAGGAGCGAAAGUGUGGGGAGCGAACAGGAUUGGAUACCCGGGUAGUCCCUGUCUCUUAUAC
rnacentral:rRNA from 1 species